rnacentral:rRNA from 1 species
AUUGAACGCUGGCGGCAGGCCUAACACAUGCAAGUCGAACGAGUGGCGGACGGGUGAGUAAUGUCUGGGAAACUGCCUGAUGGAGGGGGAUACCUACUGGAAACGGUAGCUAAUACCGCAUACCAUCAGAUUUGCCCAGAGGGGAUUAGCUUGUAGGUGGGGUAACUGCUCACCUAGGCGACGAUCCCUAGCUGGUCUGAGAGGAUGACCAGCCACACUGGAACUGAGACACGGUCCAGACUCCUACGUGAGGCAGCAGUGGGGAAUAUUGCACAAUGGGCGCAAGCCUGAGGCAGCCAUGCCGCGUGUAUGAAGAAGGCCUUCGGGUUGUAAAGUACUUUCAGCGGGGAGGCGUUACCCGCAGAAGAAGCACCGGAUAACUCCGUGCCAGCAGCCGCGGUAAUUC